rnacentral:rRNA from 1 species
CUAGCGACAGGCUUAACACAUGCAAGUCGAGGGGCAGCACAGGUAGCAAUACCGGGUGGCGACCAGCGCACGGGUGAGUAACGCGUAUGCAACUUACCUAUCAGAGGGGGAUAACCCGGCGAAAGUCGGACUAAUACCGCAUGAAGCAGGGGCCCCGCAUGGGGAUAUUUGCUAAAGAUUCAUCGCUGAUAGAUAGGCAUGCGUUCCAUUAGGCAGUUGGCGGGGUAACGGCCCACCAAACCGACGAUGGAUAGGGGUUCUGAGAGGAAGGUCCCCCACAUUGGUACUGAGACACGGACCAAACUCCUACGGGAGGCAGCAGUGAGGAAUAUUGGUCAAUGGCCGAGAGGCUGAACCAGCCAAGUCGCGUGAGGGAUGAAGGUUCUAUGGAUCGUAAACCUCUUUUAUAAGGGAAUAAAGUGCGGGACGUGUCCCGUUUUGUAUGUACCUUAUGAAUAAGGAUCGGCUAACUCCGUGCCAGCAGCCGCGGUAAUACGGAGGAUCCGAGCGUUAUCCGGAUUUAUUGGGUUUAACGGGUGCGUAGGCGGCCUUUUAAGUCACCGGUGAAAGUCUGUGGCUCAACCCUACAAUUGCCGUUGAAACUGGGAGUCUUGAGUAUGUUUGAGGCAGGCCGAAUGCGUGGUGUAGCGCUGAACUGCAUAGACAUCACGCAGAACCCCGAUUUGGGAAGGCAGCCUGCCAAGCCAUUACUGACGCUGAUGCACGAAAGCGUGGGGAUCAAACAGGAUUAGAUACCCUGGUAGUCCACGCAGUAAACGAUGAUCACUAGCUGUUUGCGAUACACUGUAAGCGGCACAGCGAAAGCGUUAAGUGAUCCACCUGGGGAGUACGCCGGCAACGGUGAAACUCAAAGGAAUUGACGGGGGCCCGCACAAGCGGAGGAACAUGUGGUUUAAUUCGAUGAUACGCGAGGAACCUUACCCGGGUUUGAACGCAUUCGGACCGAGGUGGAAACACCUUUUCUAGCAAUAGCCGUUUGCGAGGUGCUGCAUGGUUGUCGUCAGCUCGUGCCGUGAGGUGUCGGCUUAAGUGCCAUAACGAGCGCAACCCUUGCCACUAGUUACUAACAGGUAAAGCUGAGGACUCUGGUGGGACUGCCAGCGUAAGCUGCGAGGAAGGCGGGGAUGACGUCAAAUCAGCACGGCCCUUACAUCCGGGGCGACACACGUGUUACAAUGGCGUGGACAAAGGGAAGCCACCUGGCGACAGGGAGCGAAUCCCCAAACCACGUCUCAGUUCGGAUCGGAGUCUGCAACCCGACUCCGUGAAGCUGGAUUCGCUAGUAAUCGCGCAUCAGCCAUGGCGCGGUGAAUACGUUCCCGGGCCUUGUACACACCGCCCGUCAAGCCAUGGGAGCCGGGGGUACAUGAAGUCCGUAACCGCGAGGAUCGGCCUAGGGUA